GGCUCAGGACGAACGCUGCGGGCGCGCUUAAUACAUGCAAGUCGAGCGAGAACCAUGGCUUCGGCCGUGGGGACAGCGGCGAACGGGUGAGUAACACGUGGGUAAUCAACCCCCGACACUGGGAUAGCCCGGGGAAACCCGGAUUAAUACCGGAUGCUCCGUCUGGCCCGAGGGCCGGCCGGAAAAGGGUAGCUUCGGCCUCCGGUCGGGGACGAGCCCGCGGCGGAUUAGCUUGUUGGUGGGGUAACGGCCCACCAAGGCGACGAUCCGUAGCUGGUCUGAGAGGACGAUCAGCCACACUGGGACUGAGACACGGCCCAGACUCCUACGGGAGGCAGCAGUAGGGAAUCUUGCGCAAUGGGCGAAAGCCUGACGCAGCGACGCCGCGUGAGGGAAGAAGGCCUUCGGGUUGUAAACCUCUUUCAGGAGGGACGAAGCCACUCGGGUUAAUAGCCCAGAGGGUGACGGUACCUCCAGAAGAAGCCCCGGCUAACUACGUGCCAGCAGCCGCGGUAAUACGUAGGGGGCAAGCGUUGUCCGGAUUUAUUGGGCGUAAAGAGCGUGUAGGCGGCCAUACAGGUCAGCUGUGAAAACUCGAGGCUCAACCUCGAGACGUCGGUUGAAACCGUAUGGCUAGAGUCCGGAAGAGGAGAGUGGAAUUCCCGGUGUAGCGGUGAAAUGCGCAGAUAUCGGGAAGAACACCCGUGGCGAAGGCGGCUCUCUGGGACGGUACUGACGCUGAGACGCGAAAGCGUGGGGAGCGAACAGGAUUAGAUACCCUGGUAGUCCACGCCGUAAACGAUGGGUACUAGGUGUGGCGGGUGUCGACUCCCGCUGUGCCGAAGCUAACGCAUUAAGUACCCCG
rnacentral:rRNA from 1 species